rnacentral:rRNA from 1 species
GACGAACGCUGGCGGCGUGCCUAACACAUGCAAGUCGAACGGAAAGGCCCUGCUUUCGUGGGGUGCUCGAGUGGCGAACGGGUGAGUAACACGUGAGUAACCUGCCCUUGACUGUGGGAUAACUUCAGGAAACUGCGGCUAAUACCGGAUAGGAGCUCCUGCUGCAUGGUGGGGGUUGGAAAGUUUCGGCGGUUGGGGAUGGACUCGCGGCUUACCAGCUUGUUGGUGGGGUAGUGGCUUACCAAGGCUUUGACGGGUAGCCGGCCUGAGAGGGUGACCGGCCACAUUGGGACUGCGAUACGGCCCAGACUCCUACGGGAGGCAGCAGUGGGGAAUAUUGCACAAUGGGCGGAAGCCUGAUGCAGCAGCGCCGCGUGCGGGAUGACGGCCUUCGGGUUGUAAACCGCUUUCGCCUGUGACGAAGCGUGAGUGACGGUAAUGGGUAAAGAAGCACCGGCUAACUACGUG